rnacentral:rRNA from 2 species
UGGGGAAUUUUGGACAAUGGGCGCAAGCCUGAUCCAGCAAUGCCGCGUGCAGGAAGAAGGCCUUCGGGUUGUAAACUGCUUUUGUACGGAGCGAAAAGGUCUUCCCUAAUACGGGAGGCUGAUGACGGUACCGUAAGAAUAAGCACCGGCUAACUACGUGCCAGCAGCCGCGGUAAUACGUAGGGUGCGAGCGUUAAUCGGAAUUACUGGGCGUAAAGCGUGCGCAGGCGGUUUUGUAAGACAGGCGUGAAAUCCCCGGGCUCAACCUGGGAAUGGCGCUUGUGACUGCAAAGCUGGAGUGCGGCAGAGGGGGAUGGAAUUCCGCGUGUAGCAGUGAAAUGCGUAGAUAUGCGGAGGAACACCGAUGGCGAAGGCAAUCCCCUGGGCCUGCACUGACGCUCAUGCACGAAAGCGUGGGGAGCAAACA